GAUGAACGCUGGCGGCGUGCCUAAUACAUGCAAGUCGAGCGAACAGACGAGGAGCUUGCUCCUCUGACGUUAGCGGCGGACGGGUGAGUAACACGUGGAUAACCUACCUAUAAGACUGGGAUAACUUCGGGAAACCGGAGCUAAUACCGGAUAAUAUAUUGAACCGCGUGGUUCAAUAGUGAAAGACGGUUUUGCUGUCACUUAUAGAUGGAUCCGCGCCGCAUUAGCUAGUUGGUAAGGUAACGGCUUACCAAGGCAACGAUGCGUAGCCGACCUGAGAGGGUGAUAGGCCACACUGGAACUGAGACACGGUCCAGACUCCUACGGGAGGCAGCAGUAGGGAAUCUUCCGCAAUGGGCGAAAGCCUGACGGAGCAACGCCGCGUGAGUGAUGAAGGUCUUCGGAUCGUAAAACUCUGUUAUUAGGGAAGAACAAAUGUGUAAGUAACUAUGCACGUCUUGACGGUACCUAAUCAGAAAGCCACGGCUAACUACGUG
rnacentral:rRNA from 1 species